GAUGAAGAACGUAGCGAAAUGCGAUAAGUAAUGUGAAUUGCAGAAUUCAGUGAAUCAUCGAAUCUUUGAACGCACAUUGCGCCCGCUAGUAUUCUGGCGGGCAUGCCUGUUCGAGCGUCAUUUCAACCAUCAAGCUCCUUAGAUUGUGUUGGGGACCUGCGGCUGCCGCAGCCCCCGAAAUGCAGUGGCGGGCUCGUUGUCACACCGAGUGCAGUAAUCAUUCUUCUCUCCGGGCGUGGCGGCGGGUUCCGGCCGUAAAAUCACCAAUUUAUCAAGGUUGACCUCGGAUCAGGUAGGAAUACCCGCUGAACUUAAGCAUAUCAAUAAGCGGAGGA
rnacentral:misc_RNA from 1 species